CACCUCUAGCAGUUGAAGCUGCCAGCAUGAUCUAAACUUGCCUCCUUUUUUGGGUUGAGGAAAGAUCAGAUCAUGUGGCAGCUUCACCUGUUGGUUGG
rnacentral:pre_miRNA from 1 species